UACCAUCGUCCUCCUUGCUCCAUGCUCCAUCGUCCACCGCCGCCAACAGCCAUCAGACCGUCGUGGAGGAACCUCUCCAACGAUCGAUGCAGUUCUUAUUCUUUAAUGAUUUGCUGUAUUUUAGCUGUAUGGGGUUGAUAAGUAUGACUCAUGAGAACCUAACUAUAAGCUAAGAAUUAUUGAAAGACGUAUUAAAAAUGAACUGUUACCAGUUAAAAAUUUAAUCUCUAAUUUUGGUUUGUGUCUAUUGCAUUUUAAUAGGAAAAUUCAACUCCUUUCGGGAAAUGUUAUUUGGUACGUCUUCAACAAGAAUUUCUAAGGCAGUUCAACACUUAAUAACAAGUCGAGGAGAAGUAGUCUAAAAAGUAUUUUUAGAUAAUGAUUAUAUGAAGAUAUAUACACACUAUAGGACGACCCACGAGGAGUCAGACAAAAUUCUAAAAUAGCAGCAUAUGUCGAGUUUGGUGUAUAAUAAAGGUCUUUUAGUUAGUAGAACUCAUCGCCGCAAACCCUAACUCAAACGGAAAAUUGAGUAAAAAAUGGCAGCUGUUAAAAUAUUUCUUGAAUCUGUCAUUUUGAGUAUCUUUGAUCGGCUGCCAUUUUUUACUCAGUUGUUCUAUUGAGCUCAAAUUUGCGAAAUUGUAUUCUACUAUUUAACCCCUUUAAUUUUAUCUGCAUAUUGACCUGUGCUUACGUUAAUGAUUUUUAUUCCGAAUUCUCGCAUUCGCCUCUUUGAGGAGGUAGCGUAGAAUAAUAAGGUAGAAAUGCAAAUUCAAUGAAUCUUGGAACAGCUGUCAUUUUUGACUCAGUUGUCCUUUUGAGUUCGGGUUUGCGGCGAUGCGUUCUACUAACCUUUUAUAUCUUUACCUAUGCUGAUAUUUAAGAAUUUUGUCUGACUCCUCGUGGGCCGUCCCUCUUAAGGGAAAAAAAGGUUACAAUAGCUUAAAAGAGUAUACAACAACAAUUAUGCCCAUUAUUGAUAUACCUAGUCUCAUUACAUUAUCUAUAUUGGUAAAAAAUAUAUUAAACCGUUCCGGGAUUUUUCUACCACACUGUAUAUUGAAAAUCCUUUUACAAAUUAUAUCAACUGUUGAAACGUAAUUACAUUGUUAUAUAAAUCAUCAUUUCAUAGCUAAAGUAUGAUAUUUUAUGUAUUUUUUUUAAAUACCACUGAUAAAGAUCAACAGUCAAAUUUCACUGUUUUAUUCUUUUUCGACGAACAACAUGUGGAUGAUAUCUUCACAAAUUUUGACCCUAGUUUAUGUAGUUAAGAAAGUAGUUAUUACAACUUGAUCAUAAAGUCAAUCAAUGGUAUGAAAACAGUUCCUGGAUUUUUGUUAUCCGAAUGGCUCUGACCUAUGGAUUUUGCCUAUUUACCAUUUUUCUAGUAAAAAACAUAUAGGGAUAUCCCAUAAACACAUGUACUAAUUAGGCCCAUUUACAGCCUGAUUUGAUAAAAAAUAAUGCAAUUCAGGUCAAUUUUCAGCUUAAAUUAAGAUAUUAUGUUAAAUGAUCAAAAGAUGUAUUUUAACGUCUCUGAAAUUCGUUUAAUUCCGUGAGAAAAUACGCAGGUGAAAAGUUCAUUCAUAAAAUCCGUUUUAUUAGAUCAAACAUUAAUAAAUAAAUUCCCACUACUCAAAAGAGAUUUUAAAAUUAGGCUUAUAAAAUAUAAAGAAAAUUGUAUCAUACUUAUGAAAGGAGUUUUUGAUACAAAUAGAAUACCAAGAAGUCGAACUAACCUUUAAUAAUGUUUCUAUUAAUACAACUUGAUAACGUGAUACCUAACAAUAUUGUGUAUUGAAAGUCUUGACAAUGUUCAGUGAUAUCUUGUUUAAUAUCAAAAGACGAGUGUUUAAUAUCACAUAUUACAUUCAAUCUGUAUUAUGUUUGGCUGAACACUUUUGUAAGCAAGGUAUUCAAAGCCUGAUAAGUGGAAAAGAGGUAUUUUAAUAUCAAUAAACUCAAUAACCAGCUUUAUCUAAACUUGUUUUUAAAGAACAAAACUAUUCACAUUUAUGAAACAAUGUUGUUUAAAUUUGGAUCAUGUAUAAUGGCUCUUAUACUUCUGUUAUAUGUCGGAGAAAACUAUUAAAACACAAUUUUAGGAAUUAUAUACAUUUUUACAUUUUUUAUUGGAAAAAAAAACUUAACCACCAUAAAUAUUAAAUUUAGAUGAGAUGUUAUUUAUUUUUAAUUAUAAAAACGUUAGCCAGCUCACUAAUAAGGUAUGAAAAAACACCAUGUAUUCGAAAAUAUUUCCCCAGUUAUCGAAAAUUAUGAAUACACUUAAUUUUUUUUAAUAUAUAUAAACGCUUACGUCCCUUGCCCAAUAUAAACAUUGUUCAAAGAACUAUAUUUCUUUAAUUAAAAUUUAAAGCUUAUGCAAUAGCCUAACAGUUCAUAAAAUACAGAACCUGAAUUUGAGUUAUAAAUAAUAUUUUAAUAAUUUAUUUUAAAAUAUAUAAGAAUGAGACUGUAUAUUGUUAUGACUUUCCUAAGUUUAAGGUUUAGAAAUCAGCUGUUUUACAAACAUGUGAUAUAUAAAUAGGUUGUGAAACAUACUAACUGUGAUUUACGCUGUGACAA